rnacentral:rRNA from 1 species
GAUGAACGCUAGCGGCAGGCUUAACACAUGCAAGUCGAGGGGUAGAGUUAGCUUGCUAACUUGAGACCGGCGCACGGGUGCGUAACGCGUAUGCAAUCUACCUCGUACAGAGGGAUAGCCCAGAGAAAUUUGGAUUAAUACCUCAUAGUAUUAUUGAAUGGCAUCAUUUGAUUAUUAAAGUUCCAACGGUACAAGAUGAGCAUGCGUCCCAUUAGCUAGAUGGUAAGGUAGCGGCUUACCAUGGCAACGAUGGGUAGGGGUCCUGAGAGGGAGAUCCCCCACACUGGUACUGAGACACGGACCAGACUCCUACGGGAGGCAGCAGUGAGGAAUAUUGGUCAAUGGGCGCAAGCCUGAACCAGCCAUGCCGCGUGCAGGAAGACGGUCCUAUGGAUUGUAAACUGCUUUUAUACGGGAAGAAACCCUGCUACGUGUAGCAGCUUGACGGUACCGUAAGAAUAAGCAUCGGCUAACUCCGUGCCAGCAGCCGCCGCAG